ACAGUUUGGUAAUAUUUAAGAUAUGGAUCUUUAUGCAGAGCUGGUAAGUGUAUGAAAAGUUGAAAGAGUAAAGCUGUGUGUGCGUAUGUGUCUGUCUGUAUGUGUGUGUGUGUGUGUGUGUGUGUGUGUGUGUGUGUAACCUUAGGAGGAAAACUUCUCAUAGAUAAACACAUGGUACCCUGUUCACACUUAAAUGGGACUAGCCGCAGAGAGUUUGGCAUCUAGGAGGUGGUGCAGUUACAGUCAUGUUGACAGCUGAGCCGUUGUACCAGUUAUGUGAAUCAUAUGCCUUGCUCAGCGGCACCUUGGCAGUGGUAAUGAAGAAUUUUUAAUGAUCUGAUCAGGAGGUGUGAGCAAAAGAUGUGUCCUUAUCUGUUGGUAUUGAUGAACCACUCUUAAUAUUUGUAAUGAGACUUACUGAAUGAAAAGAAUGCUUGUUGCUUGUUUUCAUACCAGUUGUAGGUCUUUCAGUAUCUGCUGUUAUUGCGCCUGUGUGUAUGUUUGGUGUUUGAUAUUUGACUGUAGAAAAAUAGAGAAAGAGCGUACAUUAAACAAAAAAACAAGCUGUGUUAGAGAUUAUAUGAUCAAAGUCGACUGAUAUCAGUUCUCCAACUGCCGCUGAGAGAGCAGGUCAGCGGAUGGCUGAUAUAUGAUGCCGAUGUCAUACAGUUUGGGUUUCUUUUGGGGGGGCUUUGACAAAAUACAACAAUUAAAUUAACUGACAAAUGGAAAUCAAUGAACUCCAGUGAACAUUUUAUCAAUAUGGUAGUAAAUGUAGUCAUAUGGGACUUAGUAAAAUAUUACUACGAGGGACUUUUUAAAUUCUGUCCAGCAAUCCUCCAAUUGUGAAGAAAAAAAUAAAACAUUAUAAGGUGAAUAAAAGAGACAUACCGCUGAUACAUACCAGUGUAUAUCUGAUAUACUGGUUAUCUUGGUAAUAUGCUUUUGAUGUACUUUGAUUAAAUCAAUGGAGGACAAAGAUUUGGGGUUUUGCUAAGGAUUUUGGAAAAUGAUAUUGCCGUCAAUAAUCAACUGCAUUAUUCCACACAUCAUAGUAGAAUUUAAAUUAAACCCAAGCCAGUGACAAUUGUAAGUUUGAUAUGCUGUAAAAAGAUUAUGGGAAAAAUGCGAUUUCAAUUAAUAAGGCACAUGGUGAUAUCGCCUUGGGAGGGCCAAUGCUAAUAUCACACAGUUUAUGGCAAAUUGCAUUUAACCAGCCCGAUGAAUCUGUCUAUUUCUGUUAUAUACUGUUGGCGUUGAGGACCUUUUGUGUCACUGUUUUCUGUUUUCACGCAGAUGAGGUGAUGACGAAAAAGAAAUACAAAUCAAUAUAAAAAUUUCGUCCUACUCCUUCUAUUGUUUUCUCGAAUCUUCCUUUUUUUGUUUAUUUCACAGAAAAAAAACAUUUGAGGCUGAGGGUUUAAACCAGACAGGACACACAAGACAAUAAUGACACAGCUCUGUGAUCCACCGCUAAUGUGAUCAUUGGAUGUUUGUUUUGAGGGAGAGAGCUCAAAAUCCCAUGUUGCUCAGCUUUCCUUCAUUCUGGUCCCAUUAAGCGCUGGCAGGGCUCUUGUUUUUCCGUUGUUGUUGAAAGGAGCCCUUUCAUAUUCAUAUUGCAUGUCCCGAAGUCUGGACGCUGUGUGUGUGCAUUUGUGUGUUUGUGUUUGUUUUCUUGAGCUAGCCCGUAAAAUGAAUGCUCUCCAAAAUGUAAAUGCAGAAAAAAUAAACUAAAACAGGAAAACUUCAGUUGUCAGUUAUGAGGAUGAAAAACACUCAGCGGCUAAGUGUAGGUUCUUCUUAGCAGCAUGAAAACAGGAGAAAUACAUGCCAUUUUAACACGCUCCCUAAUGAAUACCUAUUAGUAUAAUGACUUUAUUCCUAAUUUUAAAUGGCAGUGAUUCAUGUUAAAACCAAAGGAACAGGACUAAUCCUGAAUGAGUACAGACGGAGCAAACUAAAUCUUUCUUUUCUUAACAAAGUUCUGAUUUAAUCCAAUUCAUGUGAAAUUGAAGAUGUAUAAAAAGUUGAAUUUGUCGUGUAAACACCACACACCAUACCAUAGAGAACUCACUGCAGGGUUCAUUAGCUAAAACAAGCAGAAAUUUAUGUUUCACUUCAAUUUUUCAUGAAUCACAUCUUGACUCUUUUUGUGGUUUUAACGUAUUAGCGAUUAGCUGAUAUCCAAGACUGGCUAAAGUAAAAAUAUAGACUACCUUGGAAGGUGUUUCUGUGCCAGUUCUUAUCACGGUAAAAGAAAGAAGUAUGAUUUUAGCACUGCAGCAUAGACAUGAUAUAUUUCAGUCCUUCUUGCUCAGAGUAAGUUGUUGAUCAAUAUGCCCAGCGGGUGCGAUGAAUAUGCACGAGGCGUCCGCCGCGGCGGCCCGGUAAUUGCCGGUCGUCAGGGGUGGCAGGCACCGUAAUUUGCAUCUCGGGGAUCCUGCAAUCAGCGUUCUAUUCAUUAGCGCGCCAGCCGCUUCAUCUGCUGGCCACUCAAAGCUGCCAAUCUCCCCUCAGCAGCCAAAGCAUGAGAAAAAAAACAGAAUGGAAAAGUUUCAAUUACAAGCCUGCGGGUAGUGGUGUAACAAGUCUUACACCCUAUAUUUAGGCUGUUUAAUGCAAGUGAUUGGCUGUUACUGCAUUGUGAAAGGGAACUGGGGGGAAAAGCUCAGUAAAACCAGCAUAAUCUCAUGUAUUUUAUAUCACCUUUAUCCAAGGGUGAACGUGUGCAUUCACAGGGGGGGAGAGGACGCCGGAUAAGACAUCUUUGCCUGCUUGAAGUGGGUCUCCGGUAAGUCAGUGGAGGCAAAGGGGGGGAGGGGUCACAUGAAAGAAAGCUUAUUAUGUGGCCAUAAGUGAACGCUGGCACUCAAGGACAUUGUCUCCAAGACAAAACAUGCAGUGAGCAGGCUAUAGGCUAACACAGGGGGAGCAUAUUGAAACGGCACAUGGAAGUCUACGAUCAGAAAAACUGAUUGAUAAGUGACUUUUGUGGCUCUUUCAUUUUUCCUUGUGCGUUUUUUUUUUUAAUUUCUUAACCUUUACUUUAGAAAUGAAGACACACAAUUAGAAGCCACGCGUGUGUGUGUGUGCGCCUGUGUGCAUGUGUGUUUGUGUAUCACCAUUGUAGCAGGAAGGGAGUUCCUUGUGGUAUGAAGGGUCUCAAGCGAGUGCACCUAUUUGUGUGUGUGUGUGUUUGCAGCAAAGUGCUGUGGAUCUUCCAUUGUUGUACAGUGACACAGUUGCUGUUUCCUGCAUCAUAAAUCUAAGUAUUAACACACAAAUGUUUAUAAUUUGUACACAACUACAAAAUUAUGCUUAAAAGUCAGGUACAGAUAUGACACAAAAAAUACACAAAUCCGUACGGGAUGUGAUAACAUCUAACAAGGGAAGUACAUAGUCAUUUGAAAAGGCACACACACACACACAACCACACACACACACGCAUUUCUGCACACCGCUCCUUUGCCCUGCCAUUGUCUCACAGAGGAAGCCUGUAAGACAAGUAGGAGGUCAGAUCUUGUCCUCCUCUGAAAGAGAGCACAGG